rnacentral:rRNA from 1 species
AACAAGGUUUCCGUAGGUGAACCUGCAGAAGGACCAUUGU